UAGUUAGCCAGCUUCUCUGGAAAUUUAAAAAAAUAAAUUGUUUGAGCUGUUUAAUUAAUGAAUUAAGUCCGUUAACACCUCGUGCUUGACUCCGGCGAUGGUCUCGGGUACGGGGGUGUUACAGUGAUACCUCCUUUCUUUGGCACACACUGGACCGGAUUUACCCAUGAACUGUUUCAAAUGGGGUAAAUUAUACCCG
rnacentral:lncRNA from 1 species